GAUGAACGCUGGCGGCGUGCCUAAUACAUGCAAGUCGAGCGAACAGACGAGGAGCUUGCUCCUUUGACGUUAGCGGCGGACGGGUGAGUAACACGUGGGUAACCUACCUAUAAGACUGGGAUAACUUCGGGAAACCGGAGCUAAUACCGUAUAAUAUUUUGAACCGCAUGGUUCGAUAGUGAAAGAUGGCUUUGCUAUCACUUAUAGAUGGACCUGCGCCGUAUUAGCUAGUUGGGAAGGUAACGGCUUACCAAGGCAACGAUACGUGGCCGACCUGAGAGGGUGAUCGGCCACACUGGAACUGAGACACGGUCCAGACUCCUACGGGAGGCAGCAGUAGGGAAUCUUCCGCAAUGGGCGAAAGCCUGACGGAGCAACGCCGCGUGAGUGAUGAAGGUCUUCGGAUCGUAAAACUCUGUUAUUAGGGAAGAACAAACGUGUAAGUAACUGUGCACGUCUUGACGGUACCUAAUCAGAAAGCCACGGCUAACUACGUG
rnacentral:rRNA from 1 species